GGGGUGUGAGCGGUUAGUAUAGGACCUUGGUCUCCUCGGACCUUUCCAAUGUGGGAGUGGAAAGCAAGGAAAAGGCAGGUUCUAAGGAGUGCCCUCAGGACUAGCUGUCCAGGAUUUGAUGGACAAGUCCUUGUUCUACCAAAAAGGGAAGUAAGACUUACCAGUUUGCUCUAGGAAGCAGAAAUUAAUCACAAGUCUGAGAACAACUUCUGUACAAGCAUCUCAGUAGGAGUAUUUGGGACUCUAGCAUCAGUGCUUCAUUUUCAGUGUAGCCUACCCAGCUCUGCCUAUUUGGACUUUCUGGAACACAGCUCUGAUAAAGUCACUCUCCUAUACAAGAAAUUCAAGAUAGGAUUCAAGAAACAAUGAUUUCAACCGGCCUACCUUUCCAAUCUCAUCUGUAGGAUGCAUUAUAUUACAGUAAAAGUAAAAUAUUGGGAAAUGGACUGGACUUUCUUACUUCAUUUGGUCAACUUCUGGGACAUCUAAAUCUUGAUGUAAUACGGAAAUAAGUUGGACCUGCACCCAGCUAUAAUAGUAGCCAAAGGAACUUCUCUUUGAAAAGAGAAUAAAGGACUCAUUGGAAAUUGCUAACGAGACAUUUUGAAAAUAGACAAUAAAUCCUAGUUAUACAUAUGUGAAACUAUAAAAUUUGUAUUAUGGAAAAUUUUUAGUUUACUAAAACUCAUGCCUUUCCUGAAACCCUCAAAAGGAGGUGGCAACUAAAAAAGAGAGAUUUUAAAUAACUCUAUAGAAGAUAGAAGAGAGAUAAAAAGAAGAAAGGGUUGCUAGAGCAGAAACCUUACAAACCAGAGCCAGUAGGUCAGCAGGAGCUAUUGGAGAAAAGAUUGAGAAGGGGAUAGGUGGCUGGGGAAGAGAGGAGCUUCAGAAGAAGAACAGAUGUAACCAAUGAGGAUUCUCAUCAGGAUUUCAGGCACAAUGUGUAAUGUAACCUUCCUUCUCUUUCAUUCCCCAUAUAGUCCUUAGUAAAGUAUCCAACUCUCUCCAAAGUCUUAGGGAGUUGAUUUUCUUUGUGGAACUCCUAAGAGGUGCUGAGUUGGCCUCCAACAAACAGAUUGAGAAUGUAGAGGGCCCUUGAACACAGCCAUGUCUUGCUUAAACCACUAACGUACAAUGAAUAUAGAGCAACUCUGAUGACAGUUCCAAGUCCUCCUUGGGAAGAAAAUGGCAAUAAUUGGAUUCAAUCACUCAAUAACUGGCAAUAAGUUGAUCCAGAAUGAUUUUUCCCCCUAUAUAUUCUACUCUAUUUUUGUCCAGCAAAACCCAUGCUGCAUCUUGCUUUAGAAAUUUUACUGUGAUAUCUUGGUCUUUACUUGGGCACUUGCCCUUAGUGCAGUCCAUAUAUACGGAAGUCUAUUUAUAGCUUCUAUGGAAAAGUUUUUCUUUUCAAUAUGAUCUUUAAGUGCUGACUGGCUGCAAACAAUGAUAUUCUCUACGUCUGCUAUCUCUUUGUAAUAUCAGUGACCAUCUAAGCUCUUACUCACAAUGAACAAGCAAGUGAGAGAUGGAGUUUAAACCCUCUAGUAGGAUAAAGUUGCUUCCUGCUUCACAUGAGAUCUGAAAAUAGAUUGGUCUACAUUGACAGUGACAAGACCCUUUCUGUCAAUACUGUGAAGCUUCUAUCCUUCCUAAUCUCUGUCAGCGAUGGCUUAGGAAUGCCAAAAUGCUUUAAUAGCUUAUGGGGCCAGUGUACAAAUGAUUGAUAUCUUAACUGUAUAUGAAAUUCCAGGACAGGCAGAGAAAUCAGAAGACUGGAGGAAAAGAGUCUAAAUGCAUUGCUUACUUUGGGGUUGGUUAAUCGACAUAUGUUCUACCAGUUUCCAUUGCUGUACCUCUCCUCUGUUGUCUUAUCUGAGAAUAUCUUCUUUUUUCACUUCAGUCUAUCUAAAAUUCACAUAGCUUAACCUAACUUCUAUUUUCCCUUAAUUUUGAGGCUUUUGCCAAAUUAAAAGUGAUUUCACUCUCUACUGAA